rnacentral:tRNA from 1 species
UACAUUUUAUUAUAUGACGUAUAAAAGUUUUUGAAGCUUUAGGAAAUGGUUUAAUUCUGUUAAAUGUAA